GGGGGUGUAGCUCAGUGGUAGAGCACUUGCCUAGUAUGCAUGAGCCCCUGGGGUCAAUCCCUAGUACUGCAA
rnacentral:tRNA from 1 species